rnacentral:rRNA from 1 species
GAUGAACGCUGGCGGCGUGCUUAACACAUGCAAGUCGAACGAAGCAUUUAGAACAGAUUAUUUCGGUAUGAAGUUCUUUAUGACUGAGUGGCGGACGGGUGAGUAACGCGUGGGUAACCUGCCUUGUACUGGGGGAUAGCAGCUGGAAACGGCUGGUAAUACCGCAUAAGUGCACAAUGUUGCAUGACAUGGUGUGAAAAACUCCGGGGGUAUAAGAUGGACCCGCGUCUGAUUAGCUAGUUGGUGAGAAAACAGCCGACCAAGGCGACGAUCAGUAGCCGACCUGAGAGGGUGACCGGCCACAUUGGGACUGAGACACGGCCCAGACUCCUACGGGAGGCAGCAGUGGGGAAUAUUGCACAAUGGAGGAAACUCUGAUGCAGCGACGCCGCGUGAGUGAAGAAGUAAUUCGUUAUGUAAAGCUCUAUCAGCAGGGAAGAUAGUGACGGUACCUGACUAAGAAGCUCCGGCUAAAUACGUGCCAGCCGCCGCCGUAA